rnacentral:lncRNA from 1 species
AUUAGCAUGGAGAACUCUGUCUUGAGACUACCUGACAAAAAGUUACCUCUCUUUUAUGUGAGAAGCAUGGCACAUGUUCCAAGUCAAGAGUUAGGCAGGGACUCACCUAAGCCUCAGGUGUGUGCCCACCGAGUCUCUGGGUCUUGGUCUGCUCUACCUUACCAAACUUCUGGGCCUGGUUUUACCUCCCACAAUGCCUCAGGGGCAGGAAUUGUUUCAUACUUCCCCUUACCCAGCCGUGCCAGACCCGGCAUGGCACACCUGGAAUGCAGCAUGCAUUUACUUCUCAGCCUCCUCUCCAAAUCACAGAGCUUCAUUUGUGAAGCAGUGCUUUACCGAAGGACAGAAGAGUUGUCAGGAACUGUAGACGAUGCGAUCUUCAAUCUACUUGGAAGCGUCCAAGUGAGCUUUUCAGCACUUUGUAGAUGCUGGCAGAAGACAGACUCCUGAAUCAGACAAAGGUCUUUUGAUAGCAUCAGAGAACACCAUCUUGUAGCAGUUCAGUGUGCUAGGUUGGGCCCCAAACAUCACGCGCUAAUUCCUUUUAACGUGUUAUCCUGAAUGAUAGCCAGGAGCGACAACAACAAAGCACUAGUGGGACAGAAAGAUGCAUGUUUAAACUGCAGCAACAUCUGCCACAGGUGGCUAUUUCAGCCACUUCUUCCAUGGCAGUAAUUAGAGAGUCUUACAUCAAGAAGAGUGAACAGCACCUAACCACCGGAAGCAGAGCUGACAUUGCUUGGGAAGUGAAACAUCUCUGCUGUCUGGAGGGAACCAGGUCGUCUUGGUGUCUGGAUUCCCCGGGGAUUUCUUACCAAAGUGUCAUUAUCAGCACUUGGUUUACCACAGGACAUGGCUCUCCGGUAGCCUCUUUUCAGUUAGCGGCCCACCUUGACAAACAUGAACCCUUAUCUGCAGACAAUAACUACCACCCUGAGAGAAGAGAGAGGGAGCUGAAGACUAUUGGCCGCAUUAGUCCUCUACCACCUGAAUUCCCACACUGUGCACAGCCAGAGGAGAAGGAUCUGGGCGAGAAGUGGGUUACAGCGCAGGAAGCAGGCCCACUCCAGAGGCCCAUUCAUUCUGCAAUGAUUUGUAUCUCUAGCAAGUCCAGAGACAAUGACUGAGACCCAGGUUGAGCCCCGAUUUAAGAUCUACUGGUUCAAAUGAUCACAAGAGCACCUUUCUGCUCUCAUGUUUGUUAAAUUUAUUUGUCUUGAAUUCACGCAAUGGUAAGAAUCACCUAGAAUGGCCAACUCUACAACUCAGCCAUCCCCACUUGAGACUCUCUGCCUACGACCCUUUGGUGAGCAUCUAUGGUGUUUCCUGUCACUUUAUUAUGCCAACAGUCAAGGGAACACCAAUGAAGGAAUAAUAGUGGAUAUUCAGACAAGUGGAUGGGUUCC